UACGUAGGGGGCAAGCGUUGUCCGGAAUCAUUGGGCGUAAAGCGCGUGUAGGCGGCCCGGUAAGUCCGCUGUGAAAGUCCAGGGCUCAACCCUGGAAUGCCGGCGGAUACUGUCGGGCUCGAGUCCGGAAGAGGCGAGUGGAAUUCCUGGUGUAGCGGUGAAAUGCGCAGAUAUCAGGAGGAACACCGGUGGCGAAGGCGCUCAUCUGGCCCGAUACUGACGCUGAGGCGCGAAAGCUAGGGUAGCGAACGGG
rnacentral:rRNA from 1 species